GACGAACGCUGGCGGCGUGCCUAACACAUGCAAGUCGAGCGGGAACCUCAGGAGGGGUAACCCUUCUGAGGGGAGAGCGGCGAACGGGUGAGUAACACGUGGGCAACCUGCCCCGGACACCGGGAUAACCCAGGGAAACCUGAGCUAAUACCGGAUACUCCGGCGUGAUCGCAUGGUCGCGCCGUGAAAGCUACGACGGUCCGGGAUGGGCCCGCGGCCUAUCAGCUUGUUGGUGGGGUAACGGCCCACCAAGGCGACGACGGGUAGCUGGUCUGAGAGGACGGCCAGCCACACUGGGACUGAGACACGGCCCAGACUCCUACGGGAGGCAGCAGUGGGGGAUCUUGCGCUAAUGCGCGAAAGCGUGACGCAGCGACGCCGCGUGGGGGAUGAAGGCCCUCGGGUUGUAAACCCCUUUCGGCAGGGACGAAGGGAAACUGACGGUACCUGCAGAAGAAGUCCCGGCUAACUACGUGCCAGCAGCCGCGGUAAUAC
rnacentral:rRNA from 1 species